AGCACCCGGCAGGGGUUGAUCCUGCGACCUCUUGGUUCGUAGCCAAGUGUUCUAUCCACUGAACUACGAGUGC
rnacentral:tRNA from 1 species